UGCCAGCAGCCGCGGUAAUACGUAGGGGGCAAGCGUUGUUCGGAAUUACUGGGCAUAAGGAGCACGUAGGCGGACUACUAAGUCGGGUGUGAAAUCCCGGGGCUCAACCCCGGAACUGCCUCCGAUACUGGCAGCCUAGAGAUCGAGAGAGGCGAGUGGAAUUGCGAGUGUAGAGGUGAAAUUCGUAGAUAUUCGCAGGAACACCAGUGGCGAAGGCGGCUCGCUGGCUCGAUACUGACGCUGAGGCGCGAAAGCGUGGGGAGCAAACAGGAUUAGAUA
rnacentral:rRNA from 1 species